GAGCGUUGUCCGGAAUUAUUGGGCGUAAAGGGCUUGUAGGCGGUUGGUCGCGUCUGCCGUGAAAUUCUCUGGCUUAACUGGGGGCGUKCGGUGGGUACGGGCUGACUUGAGUGCGGUAGGGGAGACUGGAACUCCUGGUGUAGCGGUGGAAUGCGCAGAUAUCAGGAAGAACACCGGUGGCGAAGGCGGGUCUCUGGGCCGUUACUGACGCUGAGGAGCGAAAGCGUGGGGAGCGAACAGGAUUAGAUACCCUGGUAGUCCACGCUGUAAACGUUGGGCACUAGGUGUGGGGGCCACCCGUGGUUUCUGCGCCGUAGCUAACGCUUUAAGUGCCCCGCCUGGGGAGUACGGCCGCAAGGCUAAAACUCAAAGAAAUUGACGGGGGCCCGCACAAGCGGCGGAGCAUGCGGAUUAAUUCGAUGCAACGCGAAGAACCUUACCAAGGCUUGACAU
rnacentral:rRNA from 1 species